rnacentral:rRNA from 1 species
GAACGGGUGAGUAACACGUGGGCAAUCUGCCCUUCACUCUGGGACAAGCCCUGGAAACGGGGUCUAAUACCGGAUACCACUCCUGCCUGCAUGGGCGGGGGUUGAAAGCUCCGGCGGUGAAGGAUGAGCCCGCGGCCUAUCAGCUUGUUGGUGGGGUAAUGGCCCACCAAGGCGACGACGGGUAGCCGGCCUGAGAGGGCGACCGGCCACACUGGGACUGAGACACGGCCCAGACUCCUACGGGAGGCAGCAGUGGGGAAUAUUGCACAAUGGGCGAAAGCCUGAUGCAGCGACGCCGCGUGAGGGAUGACGGCCUUCGGGUUGUAAACCUCUUUCAGCAGGGAAGAAGCGAAAGUGACGGUACCUGCAGAAGAAGCGCCGGCUAACUACGUGCCAGCAGCCGCGGUAAUACGUAGGGCGCAAGCGUUGUCCGGAAUUAUUGGGCGUAAAGAGCUCGUAGGCGGCUUGUCACGUCGGAUGUGAAAGCCCGAGGCUUAACCUCGGGUCUGCAUUCGAUACGGGCUAGCUAGAGUGUGGUAGGGGAGAUCGGAAUUCCUGGUGUAGCGGUGAAAUGCGCAGAUAUCANGAGGAACACCGGUGGCGAAGGCGGAUCUCUGGGCCAUUACUGACGCUGANGAGCGAAA